rnacentral:lncRNA from 1 species
AAAAACUGACCGAGUAAAUGUGAAUAUUUUUUCACUUGAACACUCUGAUCUGUUUGGAACUUAAUUUCCUUACUCAUGAAAUUAAUAUAAUAAGGCUAAGUUGGUCAGUAGUUAAACUAACUAAAUUUGGCUGAAGAUUGCUAUGUUCACUAUGCAAAGAUUAGACCGUUAGUUCCCUGAGUGAAGAGAUGCUAUCUUGGUAUCUCCAGCUUCCAACCGGGGGCUUGGCACAGAAUAGGGGCUUGGUAAAUGUUUUCCAAAUGAAUGGGAUGUCUGAUGGAAAGAAGACAAGGUGAAGGAAUUCCUGGGUAAUAUGGAGAUGAGAAUCUGUGAGAAGGUAAGAAUAUUGAGAAUAUCGAGAACACUUCAAUAUUCCAAACUUCAAUGGAAAUAUACGAACUGGAGUACACUCUUCUUCUGCCCUUGGACAUCAGGCUCUCUGGCCUUUGGACUCCAGGACUUAUACCAGCGCCCCUCUGGGUUCUCAGGCCUCUGUACUUGAACUGAGCCACACUGCCAGCAUGCCAGCUUCUCCAGCUUGCCAGGCCUGCUGUGGGACUUCUCAGCCUCCAUAAUCAUGUGUGCCAAUUCCCCUAAUA